UGAGAUCCAUUUGCCAGCAUGACUGUUGCCGACCAUAGACUAACAAAUUUCUACUCUUCCAGAUUCUUCAUAAGAUCCAUAUCGGUUGUUGUCUAUCAAUAGGAUUGAGAUUUUUGUUAUUCACAAAAGAGAUGAUGGAUUUUAACUUUACCUCAAAGCUGAUCGUUGGAUCGAUAAUGGUUUGGUCCGGUAAAUGUGCUCCCCUCCAUAGUGAUUGGGCAUAUGGGCAAGAAAAGAAAAGAUGUUCCAUAUCUUCUUACACAACAUUUUCUACAUAGACUAUCUUGGCUUAUCC
rnacentral:lncRNA from 1 species